GAUGAAGAACGUAGCGAAAUGCGAUAACUAAUGUGAAUUGCAGAAUUCAGUGAAUCAUCGAGUCUUUGAACGCACAUUGCGCCCCCUGGUAUUCCGGGGGGCAUGCCUGUCCGAGCGUCAUUGCUGCCCUCAAGCACGGCUUGUGUGUUGGGCCUCCGUCCUCCUCCCGGGGGACGGGCCCGAAAGGCAGCGGCGGCACCGCGUCCGGUCCUCGAGCGUAUGGGGCUUCGUCACCCGCUCUUGUAGGCCCGGCCGGCGCUUGCCGACACAUCAAUCUUUUUUCCAGGUUGACUUCGGAUCAGGUAGGGAUACCCGCUGAACUUAAGCAUAUCAAUAAGCGGAGGA
rnacentral:misc_RNA from 1 species